rnacentral:rRNA from 1 species
GUAGCUUGCUACCCGCUGACGAGCGGCGGACGGGUGAGUAAUGCAUAGGAAUCUGCCCGAUAGUGGGGGAUAACCUGGGGAAACCCAGGCUAAUACCGCAUACGUCCUACGGGAGAAAGGGGGCUCCGGCUCCCGCUAUUGGAUGAGCCUAUGUCGGAUUAGCUAGUUGGUAAGGUAAUGGCUUACCAAGGCAACGAUCCGUAGCUGGUCUGAGAGGAUGAUCAGCCACAUCGGGACUGAGACACGGCCCGAACUCCUACGGGAGGCAGCAGUGGGGAAUAUUGGACAAUGGGGGCAACCCUGAUCCAGCCAUGCCGCGUGUGUGAAGAAGGCCCUCGGGUUGUAAAGCACUUUCAGCGAGGAAGAACGCCUAUCGGUUAAUACCCGGUAGGAAAGACAUCACUCGC